GGCGCAGGCGAGGCCCUGUCGCAUGCACAGCGGCCUAUGCGAGGGAGCGGACACGGGCACACGGCUCAAGUGGCGCGGACGAGACCAGCCUGGCCUCCUUCGUCAGCGCCGCAGCCGCAGCGUCCGUCGAGGCGAUGGCGCAGAGUAGAGACAAUAUUGCUUCAGUUUCGUAAUAGGUUACUCACUGAAAGAGUCGCGCAGGAGCAGGUCCGGCCUAGCGAUGCUAGCAUGCUGCCUCUUCGCGGUCUGUCAACGCCAAUCGUGAUCUUGCUUGUUCGUCUUGGCCUUCGUUGGAGAGCGUCGUGUCAUCAACGUUCUCCAACUAUGAGCGAUCUGUUUUCUUCCUACCAACAGCCACUUCUCUCUGUUCUCUCAAGCAAAAGUGCUGAUAACGUGUUAAAGUAUACUCAGUGGCAAAUGAGAAUUGAGAGAGACAAAUGGCAGAGACAAGUAACUGUCGUCUUUAUUGCA